GAGUUCUGCUCGGGACCGAGCCAACCUGGUUUUCUCUUUGUUUAGCCACCGCCUCCCCUCAUGACAUCAACACUGCGGAGAGCCGUCGCGCGCUCAGACUCUGCUGCAGAACAGCACGCCAGUGCGCAAAGCGGAUCGUGCGCUAUUGAUGAGUGAUUGGUGAUCUAUCAGCAUGUCGCUGUACGCGUCUCAGAUUAAAGCGUUUAAAAGCGCGGAGCCCAAGACACUUGGCGCUAUUGAGAUCAUAAUUGGUGUGUUUACUGUAAUUCUGAGCACAAUUGUGUAUAAGCUGCACUACCAUAUCCAGCGUGAAAUCAUCAUCCUCAUCGUCAACGGUGCUCAGCUUGUCAUAACUGGUGUUGUCCUGGUGCACACUGGGAGAAAGCCAUCUAAAUGUUUGGUGCUGACAACAUUUGUUCUGCAGUUACUAACAGCAGCAUUUGAUAUUGUUGGAUUUGGGCUCAUGGCCAGACACAUCCCAUUCAGAGGAGACUCGUACUACUACAGGGACACAGAGUGGUGUUGUGACCCACUUCACUCUCUUUCGGCCUGCUGUGGAGAUGGAGAGAAAGAGGCACAAAAAGAGUUCUUAGUGAAUGGGAUCUUGGUGACACUGAUCGGUUUCCUGAUGCUAGCAUGUGCCAUUGGUUUGGUUGUUUCUCUUUUUGGGGUCUACGCCCUUUCUGUUAGUGCCAUAAAGGAGCUGACACCUAUCCCACACUCUACAGCAAACCAACAUUAUGGUGUUGGCGUUCAGACCCAGAACGCUAUCCACGCCGGAAACUGACAAAACAAGAGGCAGAAGGGCACAGCUUUAGCACAGUUUUUCACCAACUGCAAAAGAGGACUGUUUCACCUACAAACCACUCACAGGCGGCCAUGUGGAGCUGGAUGAAAAGUCAGCGUAUCCGCACAUGUUGUCCAGAGGACUGCCUAAGAGACAUCACAUCGUGACGUACAUACUACCAAAGAGCUCUCAAUCACACCUGCAGCUUCAGACUUGUUUGCACCCUGAUCCUGCUGAAGACAGUGUGUGUGUGUGGGUUGAUGCAAGUCUGCUGUAGACGUGUGACGGAGGUCUCUUGGUGAGGACAUUGAACGAAUCAGCACUGGAACCAAAUUUGCCUUAGAACUGUGGUUGAAAACACAGGAGCCUCAUGCUGAGAUGGGCUGAUGACUUAUCUCUGCCUGCUUCUGUUUAUGUUACCAUUUAACCAUUGCUUUGAGGAAGACUGCACCACCUACUUUCUUACACACACAGUUAUAAAUGCUUUAUUUUAAAGGUGAACAAAUUAUUUUGUUGUUCACAUGACCAGCAGAACAUUCACUUGUUUCAGGAACCAGUGAACAGACACUUCCAUAUGCAGAAUAAACGGAUCAUGUCAAAUACACCUAUUAAUUGGAUAGACAACAGCAUAGACAAAAAUACAGGAAAAAUGAAAUUUCAUCACAGAUUACAUUUGACCGCCGAGAUAAUCUGCAGAAUUUCACUUGCUUCACAUUUCCUCUGACACAUUUAUGUUCUUGUUGUUGAAAUACUCAGUAUCUUGAUUUCGCAAUCAAGUUAAUGCCUGGCACAUUUUUACCCUCUUUGCUAUUAGAAAGAAUUUGAGCUGAAGUGACACAGAGCCGUCUACUUCUGUUUGGUUUAUUUCAUAUUGAAUCUGUCACCCAUUGCACAAAUUUGUUAAAACUCCUACAUUUGAUCUGUGGUACAACCAGGCAGUGUGACAAAAAAAAAUAGGAUUUUUUCCCAAUGAAACAGUAUUUUCCAUUAAUAUUCAAAAAUAUUAAAGCCGCCACACUGCCAUUUUAAGAAGAUCUUUUUAAUUACACUAAAUCUCUGUUAAUACAGCACAUGACUGUCAUCAUUCAAUCCAUUUUUACAAGUUACAAAUUACUUUGUGCAAAGGUAUAUGGUAGGAAAAUAAAUUCUAAAUAAUAAUGGAAUGUAAAAUCAUUUCCCUGUCGGUUUAGCAUCCUGCUGUGCAGUGCCAGAUGUAUGACAGUUAUUCAUCCAACAUAAGGAUUUCUGCAGGCCUCGUUCUUCUUAAGCAGAGGAAAGGACAAUGCUGGGGGUCAGAAAAGCUGAAUGAUGGAGUUAAAGCAGGGCAUUGUGAGCGGUGACGCCGGAGCUACUGGACGAUGGAGGAGACAUGGACGGAGGCCUCCCAGUCUCUGGACGAGAGUCGAGUUUCCCACGCUUCAGGUUUCUUAGUCAGGGCUGCACAAAGAGGGGCCUGUGCAAGCAACGGUGGUGCUGGGACACCAAGUAA